rnacentral:rRNA from 1 species
GUGGGGAAUUUUGGACAAUGGGCGAAAGCCUGAUCCAGCCAUGCCGCGUGCAGGAUGAAGGCCUUCGGGUUGUAAACUGCUUUUGUACGGAACGAAAAGACUCCUUCUAAUAAAGGGGGUCCAUGACGGUACCGUAAGAAUAAGCACCGGCUAACUACGUGCCAGCAGCCGCGGUAAUACGUAGGGUGCAAGCGUUAAUCGGAAUUACUGGGCGUAAAGCGUGCGCAGGCGGUUAUAUAAGACAGAUGUGAAAUCCCCGGGCUCAACCUGGGAACUGCAUUUGUGACUGUAUAGCUAGAGUACGGUAGAGGGGGAUGGAAUUCCGCGUGUAGCAGUGAAAUGCGUAGAUAUGCGGAGGAACACCGAUGGCGAAGGCAAUCCCCUGGACCUGUACUGACGCUCAUACACGAAAGCGUGGGGAGCAAACAGGAUUAGAAACCCCGGUAGUCC